rnacentral:rRNA from 2 species
UAAACCCAGCACCUCAAGUGGUCAGGAGGAUUAUUGGGCCUAAAGCAUCCGUAGCCUGUUCUAUAAGUUUGCGGUUAAAUCCAUAUGCUCAACAUAUGGGCUGCCGUAAAUACUGUAGAACUAGGGAGUGGGAGAGGUAGACGGUACUCGAUAGGAAGGGGUAAAAUCCUUUGAUCUAUUGAUGACCACCUGUGGCGAAGGCGGUCUACCAGAACACGUUCGACGGUGAGGGAUGAAAGCUGGGGGAGCAAACCGGAUUAGAUACCCGGGUAGUCCCAGCUGUAAACUAUGCAAACUCAGUGAUGCAUUGGCUUGUGGCCAAUGCAGUGUUGCAGGGAAGCCGUUAAGUUUGCCGCCUGGGAAGUACGUACGCAAGUAUG